AGCGAACGCUGGCGGCAGGCUUAACACAUGCAAGUCGAGCGGGCACUUUCGGGUGUCAGCGGCGGACGGGUGAGUAACGCGUGGGAACGUGCCCUCUGGUUCGGAAUAACUCAGGGAAACUUGAUCUAAUACCGGAUACGCCCUUUUGGGGAAAGGCUUGCUGCCGGAGGAUCGGCCCGCGUCUGAUUAGCUAGUUGGUGAGGUAACGGCUCACCAAGGCGACGAUCAGUAGCUGGUCUGAGCGGAUGAUCAGCCACACUGGGACUGAGACACGGCCCAGACUCCUACGGGAGGGAGCAGUGGGGAAUAUUGGGCGAUGGGCGCAAGCCUGAUCCAGCCAUGCCGCGUGAGUGAUGAAGGCGUUAGGGUUGUAAAGCUCUUUUAUACGGGACGAUAAUGACGGUACCGGAGGAAUAAGCCCCGGCUAACUUCGUG
rnacentral:rRNA from 1 species